rnacentral:snoRNA from 1 species
GUUUAUGAUGAUUAACUUUUUAUCACGACGGUCAACUUAUUUGUAUUAGUUGUUUACUUUUACAAAAUUUGAUGAUAACUGCCUGUGACAGGGCUACUUCUAAUC